rnacentral:sRNA from 1 species
AGUAAAAUGAUCCAAAUCUUAAAUACUAAAACCAGAAAAAAGAACGGAGCGAAUACAUGAAAAACAAAGGUUCUUAAUGGUUCAAA